rnacentral:rRNA from 1 species
CCUACGGGAGGCAGCAGUGAGGAAUAUUGGUCAAUGGGAGAGAUCCUGAACCAGCCAAGCCGCGUGAGGGAAGACGGCCCUAUGGGUUGUAAACCUCUUUUGUCGGAGAACAAAACCCGGGACGUGUCCCGGACUGCGUGUAUCCGAAGAAAAAGCAUCGGCUAACUCCGUGCCAGCAGCCGCGGUAAUACGGAGGAUGCGAGCGUUAUCCGGAUUUAUUGGGUUUAAAGGGUGCGUAGGCGGUCCGUUAAGUCAGCGGUAAAAUGGCGGGGCUCAACCCCGUCGAGCCGUUGAAACUGGCAGACUUGAGAUGGCGAGAAGUACGCGGAAUGCACGGUGUAGCGGUGAAAUGCAUAGAUAUCGCGCAGAACUCCGAUUGCGAAGGCAGCGUACCGGCGCCAGACUGACGCUGAGGCACGAAAGCGUGGGGAUCGAACAGGAUUAGAUACCCGGGUAGUC